rnacentral:lncRNA from 1 species
GCCGGCCGUGGAUCAAGCAGUGUGGGAGGCCCCAUUCACAACUAAAUGUCGACAGGAUUAACAAAAACACCUACGUUUGCUCCAAGGUAAGAACACGCUAAUGUUAGCUAGCUAGCUAACUCAGCACAGCAUUGCUUGGAAAUAAUGACGGUUCUUUGUUCAUAAUGCAUAUAUUUGAACGUAAAAUAAGAUGAUUAAAGGCAAGACGGUGGCUGACUGACAUACUUUAAAAUAUAUUUCAGCAUUUUGUUAAUCGACGGCCUACCCCGGAGUACCCCAAUCCGAUCGCGGCUCUCCCGGGGUUACUUCUAAGGAGGGAACAUCAGGGGGCUUGCCGGAGAUCUCCAAGGAAAAGGAAGCCAGCACCUCAAACUCCACUGAGGACACAUUUCACAGUACAUCACAACAGAGUGACUCUACCUAUGGUAAGUUUAAACCGCUAUUUGUAUCUGUUUUUAGUUACUGAUUGCAACUGGGAAGGAAGUAAUCAAAGAAAAACAAAUCUAAUUUGUCUUUCAU